rnacentral:rRNA from 1 species
AGUGAACGCUGGCGGUAGGCCUAACACAUGCAAGUCGAACGGCAGCACCGUAAGAGCUUGCUCUUACGGGUGGCGAGUGGCGGACGGGUGAGGAAUACAUCGGAAUCUACUUUUUCGUGGGGGAUAACGUAGGGAAACUUACGCUAAUACCGCAUACGACCUACGGGUGAAAGCAGGGGAUCUUCUGACCUUGCGCGAUUGAAUGAGCCGAUGUCGGAUUAGCUAGUUGGCUGGGUAAAGGCCCACCAAGGCGACGAUCCGUAGCUGGUCUGAGAGGAGGAUCAGCCACACUGGAACUGAGACACGGCCCAGACUCCGACGGGAGGAAGCAGUGGGGAAUAUUGGACAAUGGGCGAAAGCCUGAUCCAGCCAUACCGCGUGGGGGAAGAAGGCCUUCGGGUUGUAAAGCCCUUUCGUUGGGAAAGAAAAGCAGCAGGUUAAUACCCCGCUGUUCUGACGGUACCCAAAGAAUAAGCACCGGCUAACUUCGUG